rnacentral:rRNA from 1 species
GUAGCAAAAUAAAUUGUCUUUUAAUUGAAGACGGGUAUGAACGGUUAAACAAAAAAUUUUUAUUUUUUAUUAAGUUUAUUAAGUUCUGGUUUAAGUUAAAAUACUUAAAUAACUAAAAGGGACGAUAAGACCCUAGAAUCUUUACUUAUAAAUUUUUUAAAAAUAGUAUAUGUAAUAAAUAAAUUAAUUAUGAGUUUGGUUGGGGCAAUCAUUUUAUUAAAAUUAAAAUUUUAUAUACUAAAUUUAAGGAUUUAAGAUCCUUUAAAUAAGGAUAAUUAGUUUAAGUUACUCUAGGGAUAACAGCGUAAUAUUUUCAGAAAGGUCAUAUUAAUGAAUGUGAUUGCGACCUCGAUGUUGAAUUAAAAUAUCUUUACAAGGCAUAAGGUGUAUAAGAAGGUUUGUUCAACCUUUAAAAUUUU